rnacentral:rRNA from 1 species
AUGGAGAUGAAACCCAAAAGAUUUUCGUUGGGGCGUAACCCUCUCAGCGACGCGCCACAUCGGAACCCAGGUGUGGUGGAAAAUGGGCAAGGGCCGGGCCGUCACCCCCCAAGUGGCGCGCCGUAUCUUGAUCCGGAUACGGUGGCAAGUGAGCGAGGAUCGGGUCGUCGCAUCCUUAGUGGCGCGCUACAUCGGCGCCCGGAUGUAGUGGAAAAUGAGCAAGGGUCUUCGCAUUUGACCCGACGAGUGCGAAGGUUAAGGAAGCUAGCCGAGCCUAGGAGGAUUCGCUUAGGUAGCUGGAACGUAGGGUCUCUGACAGGGAAGCUUCGGGAGCUAGUUGAUGCAGCAGUGAGGAGAGGUGUUGAUAUCCUUUGCGUCCAAGAAACCAAAUGGAGAGGAUAG